rnacentral:rRNA from 1 species
GACGAACGCUGGCGGCGUGCUUAACACAUGCAAGUCGAACGGAAAGGCCCUGCUUUUGUGGGGUGCUCGAGUGGCGAACGGGUGAGUAACACGUGAGUAACCUGCCCUUGACUUUGGGAUAACUUCAGGAAACUGGGGCUAAUACCGGAUAGGAGCUCCUGCUGCAUGGUGGGGGUUGGAAAGUUUCGGCGGUUGGGGAUGGACUCGCGGCUUAUCAGCUUGUUGGUGGGGUAGUGGCUUACCAAGGCUUUGACGGGUAGCCGGCCUGAGAGGGUGACCGGCCACAUUGGGACUGAGAUACGGCCCAGACUCCUACGGGAGGCAGCAGUGGGGAAUAUUGCACAAUGGGCGGAAGCCUGAUGCAGCAACGCCGCGUGCGGGAUGACGGCCUUCGGGUUGUAAACCGCUUUCGCCUGUGACGAAGCGUGAGUGACGGUAAUGGGUAAAGAAGCACCGGCUAACUACGUGCCAGCAGCCGCGGUGAUACGUAGGGUGCGAGCGUUGUCCGGAUUUAUUGGGCGUAAAGGGCUCGUAGGUGGUUGAUCGCGUCGGAAGUGUAAUCUUGGGGCUUAACCCUGAGCGUGCUUUCGAUACGGGUUGACUUGAGGAAGGUAGGGGAGAAUGGAAUUCCUGGUGGAGCGGUGGAAUGCGCAGAUAUCAGGAGGAACACCAGUGGCGAAGGCGGUUCUCUGGGCCUUUCCUGACGCUAAGGAGCGAAAGCGUGGGGAGCGAACAGGCUUAGAUACCCUGGUAGUCCACGCUGUAAACGGUGGGUACUAGGUGUGGGGUCCAUUCCACGGGUUCCGUGCCGUAGCUAACGCUUUAAGUACCCCGCCUGGGGAGUACGGCCGCAAGGCUAAAACUCAAAGGAAUUGACGGGGCCCCGCACAAGCGGCGGAGCAUGCGGAUUAAUUCGAUGCAACGCGUAGAACCUUACCUGGGUUUGACAUGGAUCGGGAGUGCUCAGAGAUGGGUGUGCCUCUUUUGGGGUCGGUUCACAGGUGGUGCAUGGCUGUCGUCAGCUCGUGUCGUGAGAUGUUGGGUUAAGUCCCGCAACGAGCGCAACCCUUGUUCACUGUUGCCAGCACGUUAUGGUGGGGACUCAGUGGAGACCGCCGGGGUCAACUCGGAGGAAGGUGGGGAUGACGUCAAGUCAUCAUGCCCCUUAUGUCCAGGGCUUCACGCAUGCUACAAUGGCUGGUACAGAGAGUGGCGAGCCUGUGAGGGUGAGCGAAUCUCGGAAAGCCGGUCUCAGUUCGGAUUGGGGUCUGCAACUCGACCUCAUGAAGUCGGAGUCGCUAGUAAUCGCAGAUCAGCAACGCUGCGGUGAAUACGUUCCCGGG